GAUGCCUUUAAACCCAAAACAAGGUCAGACAUCAAACCGCAUCUCCCUCUGCAGCCAGGCCUCCACUCCCGCCAACCCCGGGAAGGACGUGGAAAGAAUAAAAAUAUUAGCGGCGGAGUUAAGAUUGUGCCACCAAGACCCCAGCCUCUGACUUUCUUGUGAAUGUGUUCUGCAGUGUCUCUUGAUGUGUCACAAGUUUUCAUAGAGAAAAGUUCCAUGUUCCAUAUGGUACGGUAUGGUUUUCAUGGGUAUUUCACUGAAAUUAUAUUUCUGAGAUGGAGCCUUUCAAUCCAUUUUGCACAUAGUUCUCUGAGGUCCUGACCUCUUCCUGCAGCCCAGAAAAGACCAGCAUUUGCUGACUCUGGGGCUGUAGUCUGGCUAAGGAGCCCUUUUCCUUACACACCACGAAAUGAUCACUUUUGGUGAAAAUGCUCCUCAAAGAAAUAAAAAGCAAGGCACAUUUGCCCAAUUUUAAGUUGAGUGGGUUUGACAUGCAGCAUUAUGCAACAGAAGGAUUUUUGGUGCCAGCUGAUGCUUAAGUGACACUGUUCUGCAACCUGGGUGUUGGUGACAACCCUGGCACCAAUCCCGGGAGGGGCAGAAGGAGGCUGGGAGCCCAGGGUGGGCUGGGAGGAUGACGCUGUGCCUGCUUCUCUCACCUCCUUGACUGCUGCACUGUUGUUCCAACACAUCUUUCAUCUGGGCUCAUCAAAAUCAUCACCGAGAACACAGAUCUGACAGGCAGCGGGGGUUCCAGGCUAUUGGCCUCCUGAUAAGGUGCCACUUCACAGAAAAUACAUCCAGAGCGGCUCUAUUGUAAAUGCCCUUCCAGGACGGGAGACAUUAGCAGAGGGGCCCUAGAUCCUUUGUGAGAGAGGCUCUCAGAGCCACUCUCUGUCUUUCUGUCUCUCUCUCUGAUUUGGGCCUCCAGGCCAGACAGGACAUGCCACACAGGAAUGAUUCUGCCAGAAUGCAAACCAGCCUAGUCACCCACCCUCUGAGGCAAAGGACCAACCUGCACUGGAUAGUCUGAUUUUCUGGGGCUUGCCCCCUUUUUGACUAAUUUCCUCCCCUUUCAGAACUGGAGUCCAUCUGCCCAUGCUUACCAGUCUCCAGCCCCCUCCCCCAUCCCCAGGCAUCCCUGCCUAGGGCUCAGCCUGAUUGGUCCAAGUGUCAGCCCAUUGUCUUGGGUCUGUGAUUGGUUAAGGAAUCCAGACCUAAGCCAAUCAGCACCUGGCAUUAUUCUGAGCCCCAGAGCUAGUCCUCACAUGGCUCCAAGGUUGGCAGGCUCCCAGUUGGAGAGAGUGAGAUGUGAAAAUGUUCUACCCUCUUAAGAGCCAGGAGGAAAAAAACACCUUCCUUGUCUCUGGACAUCUGGGCAUGUGGGUGUGAGGCUUGGGACUGCUGCCACCAUAUUUGCCACCACAAAGGAAGCUGGACUGAGUUUUGAAGUUGAUAUAGUUAGAGAAGGAAGAGCAGAGAGACCCACUGAGAGAUGGGACCUGGAUUAAGCCAGCCCUGAAGCCCACCCUAAGACUGCACAUUUACUUAUGUGAGAACAAACUUCCUGUAGAUUGGUAUGUUAAUGGAGAAAGUUUCCUUUGAGCUUAGAUGAGCAAGAUUUAGGGAUGGGGGACCUCUCGAGGCAAUGUCCAGCACAACUCACUUUCUGGCGAACACAUCUUCCUUAUACUGAUCCAGGUGAUGGAAGGAUUACUGUUGCACAUUGAUGUCACAGAUGAUUUGCCUAUAAUAAUAGAUGUGUCAGAGGCAUACCUUUGGCCUUGGCUCUGCCCAUCCUGGAUCCUUUUCCAAGUGCCGAGCAGAGGGAUUGAGGGCCGUGGGCUUUGAGAUUAGAGGAGAGGAGAGCAAAGCCACUUGGACAGCUCCAAGACCAGGACCCCAUUUCCUGGUGAGAGGGAUCCUGGAUUCACCACUUGGCAUUCCUCUGCAGGCUAUGCUUUUCUUUAGAGAGGCUGGAGGGCAGAGAGAUCAAAAGUAGCAGGCUACCUGGGUUCAAAUCCUAGUCUUGCCACUUGUCAGCUCUUUGGCCUUUGGAAGACUUCUAAACACUGAUUGCCUCAGUUUAUUUGCCUGUAAAAUGGGAGUAGUUCCAACCUCACAGGGUGGUCAUGAUGAUCAAAUGAGUUAACUAUUAGUGAGAAACUUAGUGCUAAAUACAUAGUAAUCAGGGAAUCAAAUUUAAAAUAUAGCUAUUAUUAGUUUUAAGAAUGGAGAAUCAGGAGUUCCCACUGUGGUGCAGUGGGUUAAGGGUCCAGCAUUGCCAUGACUACAGGGUAGGUUGCAUGGACAUCUGACCCUUCCUGGCUGCACUUGGAGAUAUCAGGCUUCCAGAAGCCCUAGACUCAUCAAGCAUCUUAUGCCCACACAAUGCAGACAUGAGGACAAAGAGGCUGGGGGAUGUGCCAGGACAGACCAAUGACAGAAAGCCUGGACUCCUCCUCUUCAGAAGCCCAAGAAUGACUGAGGUCAUAGGCCCUCCCACCCAAUGCAAUGAAGCCUAGGGCUCAAGAUAAACUCAUCAGUAACAACUAAAUCAAUGAAUAUUCCUUCCACCCUGAAUUCUUACCCAGCAUGUGUGCAUGAAUCCCACCACUGAUAACCAUAAAGAACUCUAUAUUCUGAAUCCUUUUGGGAGAUACCCUGUAUGGCAUCUCAUUUUCUUCCAACAUGAAUGUGAGGGAACAUACUCUAAGAAGAGGAACCCUGCAGAAGCCUGGCAGGGAAGACAGGAGGGCCCUCACCCGAGAAAGGUCACAAGGAAUGCUACUAGAGGGAACUGGACUGUUGGCCAGUCUGUGUUCCCGCCAGCUGCACUGCCUCCCGUCCACCAUAGGGAAGGCCUGCUGUCCCUCCUUGCCCCACCUGUGCCUGUCCCUCCCCACUUUGGGUCCAGGCCAGCCCUCCUGGCUGUAAUCAUGACAGGGUCAAGCACAAUGCCAUCUCCCAGGAGACGCCAGGGCCUCUGCCCACCCAUGCCCACUCCCUAGAAGUCACCUCAUUAGGGGCUAAGGAGUGCCCUUUGGCAUUCCACUUGCUCUGGAUUCCAGGGGCACUCGUGGUAAUGCUCUCAUGGCCACUCUGGUCCAACCCAUGGAAGUCCUCAAGGGCCUGAUCAUUUGCUGUGAUAUCAGAACCAUCUUGUGACUGUGACUUUUAGAGCCUCUUGGCUAGCCUUCCCUCUCCCAUCAGGCAGCAUGUGGAGCAGGGGGCUGCCCGUUCUUAUGCCCCCCCUCCCCAUAUCAAUGCCUGUCCAAUGUCAGCCCCCUUGUAGGGCCCUCCCUGGAUGACUCCAUGGCAGUCAUGUGACUUGCUUUGGCUGACGGGCUGUUUGCAAGUAUGAUGCAAGUGCCGCCAAAUGGGGCUUGUUGGCUCUGCUUCUCUGCCACAGAAAUGAGAAGACCUCCGACAGGCCUGCCAGUCGAUGAGCACACAGAGCAGAACUAGCAUCCCCAGUUGCCCCAGUUGAGGCCUCCCUAGACCAGCCAGAAGCCGGUGGACCUCCCCACAGCUAUUGAAACAGACAGCGCCCGCGGCUGAGGAGGACGGGACUUUACUGUGCGGAAACGUGAAGGGCAAACCCAGCAAUUAGCCGCAGAGAGUGGGGAGGCGAGGCAGGCAGAAUGGAGAGCUAGGGAAACAGAAGACUUAAUUGCAGGGUGUGCCAGCCACGGGGAUGUGCAAGGAAUUCUGAAUGAGGCUUCACCGAGUCUUGCUGCUUUAAAAAAGAGAGAGAGAGAGAAGGAAAAUGCAUGAAUCCUAUGGUUCUGUCUCAUUUUGUACAGGAUGGCUGGCUGCCUGGUUUGGAGAGAAACACCCUCUUGCUUUUCUGUGUUGCCCAGUUCGUGUGCCCAGCCUCACGCCAGGGCUCUGCUUUGGACCCAUUCAGAGUGGGGCCUGGGAACACCUGGCAUCUUCUUGUGCCAGGUUCCGUGCUGGGUGGAGCAGGACAGCAGCCAGUCUGGAGCCUGGACCCUCCCAACGUCUGGAGUCAGGAGGUGCUGGAAAUGCAGCAUUAAGCAAAACGAUUCCUGCCAGCCAUGCUCCUGACGUCAGCUUCAUGGUCCUAUAAAUCCAGAUAGAACACGUGAUGGUUCUCUGGGGCACACACCUCAAAAUGUACCCUGCAGACAAACCGCCGGGGACCUUGUUAGAAGCAGAAGACCAUCCUCAGCAAGACUUGUAUCUUGCAGAGAUCCAACUCCACAGCAGGUUAAUAAAAAGGGGUAACCUACUGAAGACUUUGGGGGGCCCAGGAGAGAUGCCAGGCAGCAUUCAGCAGAAGCGUCACAGUUCUUCAGGAACCACAGCCCUUCUCUCCCAUCAGCAGCCUCUUCUGUUCUGUCCUCUGCUUCAGCACAGCCUCUAAAGACAUUCUGAGGUGUCCUGUGCAACUCGGCCCUGACAUGGCAUUUUCCUUUUUCACAUUGGACCCUUUUGAGAUUUUUCAUCAGUGGGCUGUUUUUGGCUGGUUUUGAUAGCCACAUUUUAUUUACAUGCAAAUUCACAGCAAGCAGUUCGCAUGUAAAUACUAUACUAAUUAUUAAACUUCUAUGGCUCAUCAGAAUGCUGUAUCCUAAUUGGCUGCAAGAUUGCCGAUAACCCACAAUAGCCUGAUUUGGAGCCGGACCAGUUUCUGCAUCUGCAUAAUAAAAAGAAACAAGAGGCUGGGAGAGUGUACAUCUAUUUUAUACGUGUUUCUUCAAGGUCAAAUCAUCUUUUAUUCCCUUCUCAAUCUACAUAUUCAUAAAGACCUUUGUGCAAUUAAUGAGACAGAAGAUUAAAUGGUUGCAGAUUAAGAACAAACCCUACUGUUCUAAUUAGAGUAAAAGUUACUUAGUCAAUCAGAUUAGAAUUCCAAAUUCAAACUAGCUAAUACAGAGGCAGAACAAUGCCAACACACACACACACACACACACAGUGCCCCCAGCAGCAGUUUGCACACAGCCACCAGAGCCUGGGCAGGAAAGCCAGGAGCCCUGGUCACAAUUUCUUCCUGUUUUGCAAAGGCCCUUCUGAAGAAGGCCCCCAUUGCUCAGUGUCCCCAGCGAUGGAAGAAGGGAGGAGAGCCAAUGGAUUUCCAUCAUACCACAACACGGCUAUAUUCCUUGAGCCCACUGGUGGUAGAAGAAGUAACAGGGUCUCUCCACAUUGUCUGGGUGAAAGAUUUUUUUUCCCCAGACUCCUCCUUGGGGAACCUUAGGAGUUUGGACAAUCAAUGAGACCUUCAUAGACAAGGUCUUAGUCCACUGGGGCUGGAUGCAGAGAGAUUGAAGACGCUGUCCCUUCUGUCAGGGAGCCUGCAGCUUCCUUCGGAUGUCAAGACUUAUGCAUCUGGAACGGCAGAAAGUGGAGAAGGGUUUGGAUCAAGUUCUUCGCCUAGGUUCCACGGACUCCUCCAGCAGGGUUUCCAAAGUGUGCUCUGGAACCUGCACUGGAACAGCCUGGGACAUGGGCCUAAGGAGAGGUUCCUCAGUUGCACCCCAGAUCAGCUGAUAGGGGCUGGCCAUCUGUAUUCUGAACAAGCUCCACAUGAUUCUGAUGCAUAUUCCCAAAACCACUGGCUUAGAAGAUGCCUAGUUGGAUUUCAGAGAACCCACAAACUCCUGGAUACUGAAAACUUUUGUGUGUGUGUAUGUUUAUCUAGGAAGAGGUUGAUAGUUUCCACUGCUCCUCAACAGUGGCCAUGCCUCAGAGAGGUAAGCCCUGAGAUAGAGGAAAGAGAUUCGGCCAGCAGAACAAAGCCAAGCAGCAGACACUGGCCACCAUAUGACCCAGGAUGGACCCACAAAACCCAGGUUAUUCUUGGAGUCCCCUGGAGGACCGGCCUGAUUCAUCAGGUCUGGGGCCGGCCCCUGAAUGUGCAUUUCCAAUAAGUCUCCAGGUGCUGCUGCUGCUGGUCCAGGAACCAAACAUAGAACUGCUGCUGUGAUACCUGAGUUUUGGUACCAUCCAUGGAACUGCCUAUUCAAAUUCUACUCGGAAGCUGAGUGAAUAAGAGGAGAGGGGAGCCUCUCCAGGUGAAUUGGGGUAAUAAACCCAGGUGGAAAAUGUCCCCUCCACCCGACACCGCUUGCAGCAUCCUGUUUCCCCUUGAAGUCUCUAACACCCUAUAGGAUCCUCAGUUGGAAAAUCCUCACUGUGAAAAUGCCAUGAGCCUUCUCUCUUACCUGCAGUUCUACCUCCAAGACUCUGAAUACUUCCAUUUGAGCACAAAUGCUCAGCACAGCUUUAUUUAUGUCAGCAAUUUUUUAAAGGAAAACAGUUUAGCUCUUGCAUUGUCAGUGUAGAUUAUUGGGAGAAUCUAGACUUCCACCCCUUCUUGGCAGUAAUGGAUCAUCCUUUCCCCCUCCCACUGGGGUAGAAUCUGAGGAAGGCUAGCAGAGCUGGAAUUCCCACUCAGGGCCAGUAAAUUGAGCCCCUCUUCCCUCAGAUGUGAAUAGAAGCCAAUUUGGGAACCUGGACUCCUACCACCACCUGGCACCUGGCAGUAAUGAGGCAGUUCUCCCCUUCGGCUGCUUGAUAAAUCACAGAAGCCAGCUAAAACAGAAGUUUUCAAUAAGCACACCAGCAAAAUCAAACUCUAUAGCAUAUGAUCUGGCAAUCCCUCUCCUGGGCAUCUAUUCUGAGAAAACCCUAAUUUAAAAAGACACAUGUAGAUAAAUAAAUAAAUAAAUAAAAAAGACACGUGCACCCCAAUGUUCAUAACAGUGUAAUUCACAAUAGCCAAGACGUGGAAACAACUUAAAUGUCCAGUGACAGAUGAAUGGAUUAAGAAGGUGUGGUAUAUAUACAUAAUGGAAUAUUACUCAGCCAUAAAAAACAAUGAAAUUGUGCCAUUUGCAGCAACAUGGAUGGACCUAGAGAUUAUCAUACCAAGUGAAGUAAGUCAGAGAAAGACAAACAUCAUAUGUUAUGGAAUAUAUGUGGAAUCUUUAAAAAUGAUACAAAUGAACUUAUAAAACAGAAAGAGACUCAUAGACUUUGAAAACAAACUUAUGGCACAGCAGGUUAAGGGUCUAGCCUUGUCACUGCAGUGGCUUGGAACACUGCUGUGGUACAUGUUCGAUCCCUGGUCCAGGAACUUCUGCAAGCUUCAGGUGUGGAAGGAAAAACAAGACAAAACAACUCUCAAAACUUUGCAAAGCAAAAGUCAAUUCGAAAAUGGCAUGGGAGUUCCUGUUGUGGCUCAGUGGUAAUGAACCCGACUUGUAUCCACAAGGACACAGGUUUGAUCCCUGGCCUUGCUCAGUGGGUUAAGGAUUUAGCAUUUCCACAAGCUGUGGCAUAGUUCACAGAUGCAGCUGGGAUCUGAAGUUGCUGUGGAUGUGGCAUAGGCCAGCAGCUGCAUUUCUGGUUCGACCCCUGGCCUGGGAACUUCCGUAUGCACAGGUGCAGCCCUAAAAAGACAAAAAAAAAAAAAAAAAAAAAAUUUUUUUUUUUUAAAGGAAACUGUUUAAAUGUCUAUUGUUAGGAUCCUCAAUAAAUGAACUAUGGAUCAUUCAUAUGCUGGAAUAUAGGCAGCUGUUACAAAGAAUAAGGCAGGGCAUGGAAUUGGUCGGAUAAAAACAAGGCAUUG
rnacentral:lncRNA from 1 species